GUAGGGUGCAAGCGUUAAUCGGAAUUACUGGGCGUAAAGCGUGCGCAGGCGGUUUUGUAAGUCUGACGUGAAAUCCCCGGGCUUAACCUGGGAAUUGCGUUGGAGACUGCAAGGCUGGAGUCUGGCAGAGGGGGGUAGAAUUCCACGUGUAGCAGUGAAAUGCGUAGAGAUGUGGAGGAACACCGAUGGCGAAGGCAGCCCCCUGGGUCAAGACUGACGCUCAUGCACGAAAGCGUGGGGAGCAAACAGGGAUUAGAUGCCCUGGUAGUCCACGCCCUAAACGAUGUCUACUAGUUGUCGGGUCUUAAUUGACUUGGUAACGCAGCUAACGCGUGAAGUAGACCGCCUGGGGAGUACGGUCGCAAGAUUA
rnacentral:rRNA from 1 species